AGUGGGUGUUGUGAUAAGAAAAGGGCUUGCUUUCAUAAGCUCCUCUUCUACUUCUUCUGCUACUUCCUCUUCUACCAUCUUGGAGACACAUUCACAUUGAAGAUUUUGGUGUCAUAGCUCAAAUGGAAAAUGCCAAUAUGGGAGAUAAGGAGGCUAAACAACAGCUCUAACGAGACUUGGAAAGAGAAGAAAUAGUGCAGCCCCAAUGCCAUCUUCGCCGUAUUGUGAGCGGUUGUAUUGCCUGUUAUUAUAAAAGAGAGAAAAGAGAAUGAAAACUGACCUGAGAUUAUGUUGGAAUAAAUUGAAUUACAGAGUAAGUGCAGAGGCACUUAUAUAUGUAUAUUAUAUAAUGGUACAACCGAUUAAGACAUGAACUGAAUCUAACAGCUUCAACUAACUUAUAACUAACUUCUAACAAGAUUAACUAAUAACAAAAUUACCAAAAAAGAUAGAAAAUAAAUAAGGGUAAAUUCUAUUAUCCUCCCCUCAAGAACUGUAUAUAUCAUAUAAAAACAUUUUACUUAUAUGAGAGGAAAGAGUAGUAGAAGGUAGAAAUUUGGCAAAAGCAUUAGCUAAUUUGAUUGAGUGUAGUCUUGACUGGUAUGAGCCUUAUAGUAGAAUCUUUGAUUUUAUCUCUAAUGAAAUGAUAAUUUAACUAUACAAUAUACGAUGUAAAGUCUCUGUAUGCACACAAAGUCGAAGUUCGAGACUACAAGCUUCUUUGCCUUGCAAGAGUGGAAGUAAGAGAUCAAAAGUUCUCUUUAGUUGGAAUUCUUGGAGGCCAUAUGAUCACUUUCUGGUUAUGGAUAGCUUUAAGGUAGAUUGAGGCGAUUGACACUCACAGCGGACCUUUCCAGUCCUUGGCCACCAAAUCUGUGUCUAUGAUCCACAAUUAUAGUAGCGAUCUCGAGAGGAGUUCGGAUCUGAGUUGAAGAAGGAGACCUCUGUCUUCUGUUAAGUGAUCUCAUGCGCCGGACCUCCCUAAUUCGCUUGAAGUAGGCGCCUUUGUCGCUUUGGAGUCGCUCAAAUCGGUUGGUCGUAUAAUCAAUGACAAUAAGUUUUCUAUCCUUUUAAUCUCUCUUUGAUUUUCAACUUUUAUCCUUUCACUGCAAUGCUAUUUUUUAUAUGCAUGGUUUUGUUUUCUUAUUAUUAAUCAAGUUUAUAUAUGUAUUUACAAUACUUAUGUGUGAAAUCUGAAGAGGUUAGUGAUUCUCAAUUUUAUAUUUACUUAUGUCGAACACUUUUAUUCGUGAUUGGAAGCAAUUCCAAAUAUUUUAUCUAUAAAACGAAAGUGGCAGCAACACAAAUUGGCUAUUGUUCUUGGUGGCUCACUUUAGGCGGAGGCGUGGAGAUGACAUUCCAUUCAAUGAUAGUAAUCGGAAAAGUAAUUGUAUAUUUGUUUCAUUUUUAUAUUUGACUUUUUUAUAUAAAUAGAAUUUAUUGCUUUUUAUAUUAAAUUUUAUUGAUAUUAAUUGUAACACGUUUUUUCAACUUUUUCAAAAUGUAAUUGGUUAAAUUUCAAAAUGCAAUUUUAUUAAAAUUAAAUUAAUUACUUUUUGGUUUUUUCCUUAAAAAAAUUUAUUCUAUUAGCUCUUACUUUUAAUUUUAAGCUAAUCUUUUGGUCUAUUAAGAUUUAUUUUAUUAGCUGUAACUUUUUAAUUUUAAUUUUAAGCUAAUCCUUUGAUUAAUAGAAUUAAAUAGUGGAGAAAAUUAAGUUAAGUAAUUACUUUCUAUAUUUAAUUUAUUAAAUUUUGUCUUCAUUUUAAAUUAUUUUACAUUAAAUUAUCUUUUUUGGUUAUCAAUUAGAUUUUUUAUAUCUAGUAAUUGACAGAUUGAUUUGUGUGUCAAUUAUGUCUUUGUAAUUAUAUUAAUUUCAUUCACACUUCAAAAUCUUAAAUAAUUUUAUGUCAAUCUUACCUUUUAUUUUAUUAAUUAUUUCUUUUAAAAAUUCUUUAUAUGAUUGACUGUCAAUUAGUAUUUUUUAAUUAUAUUAACAAUAAUUUAUGUAUAUAAUAUUUUCUAGGUUCGUUUUUUCACAAGUUUAUAGUUUUGAUUCUUUUGAAAGGUGAAUUUUUUUGUGAUUUUUUGGUAUUUAUUUAGAACAUUUACACAAUUAAUUAUAUUUGUAAUUGAUUUAUUUAUGUAUAUUUUAUAUUAAUUAAUUUUUCAAUUUAUUUAUAAAUCAAUUAAUAAAUUUUAGUUAAUAUUUUUUACUUUAUUUCAUAUGAAUUUACAUUACUUUUUCCUUAUAUGCCUUUUAUGGCUUUUGUACCAUUUUUAUGGCUUGUCCCUAUAUGUUUAGGGUAAUUUUGUAGUAUGCUCAAUUGGCAAAAGAAUGAUUUCUUUUGUACUCAUAAUUUCUACUUCAACGACCUUUUCACUUUAAACAGAUAAGUAUUUCAAUUUUUUAUGUCUUUAUAUUUAAUAUGGAUUGAUUUAUCAUUGUUCUAUCACAUUAUCUUUUUUUUAUUAUAUUGUGCGGUAAUAGGGUUAUUUUUUGUUAUUUUGCAGGUUAUUUUGUGGAGGGCCUACAAUAACAGGAAUUUUACUCCUAACUUUAAUUUUAUAUAUAAUUUUUUGAUUUUGAUUUUCAGCAAUUUAUAUUUGGGUGUUAGUAUUUUGUUACUAGCCAAAGGGUAAUAUCUUUGGCUAGUUAUUCUUAGUAAUUUGUUUUUUUUUUUUUUAAUUUUUAGUAAUGUUGAGCUAGUGAUCUGAGUUGCGUGUUAAUUUUUUUAGUUUGUAUAUUUAUUUUUAUUUGAAGAUUGUCAUUCUAAUAUAAUUGUAUUUUUUGGUUUGGUGUUGCAUUGUUUUUUCAGUUUCGCUAGCUCUGGAGACAAUUAUUAAUGAUGGGGAGGUAUUUUUUCAAUGUGAUGUGGUGUUAUUUUGAAGACAUAGCUUGAUUGUCUAAAUUUCCGGGGGCAGCUUUGUCCUAUGUGGCUCGGUUUAAAAUUCUGCCGCACAUGGUUUGGCAAAGCAUGCCCUUCGGUUAGACGAUGAGCUAUCCUGGUUCGAGGAGAUGUCUCCCCCGAUUGUGGAUUGCUACUUUGUUUAAUCAUGUGUGAUUUUGAUCACCGCGUCAAAAAAAAAAUGAUAAUUUAACUUGAUGUUUUUAGUUCUUUCGUGAAAAGUAGGAUUAUUCGCGAUAAAUACAGUAGAUUGAUUAUCACAAUAAAUGAAGGCAAGGGUGCAUUGAUGAACAUGUAGGUUGUUUAAGAGGUGCCGAAUCUAAGUGAUUUUACUUCUUGUAGCACUAAGGGUGCAUUGAUGAACAUGUAGGUUGUUAUAAUUAGCUCUCUGAGAAGUGUUUCGAUUUAUGUUGUUAAACAAUAAGUAAAUAUAGUGGCUCAUUCAUUUGCAAGAGUCUCUAUAUUAUAUCUUCAUUGUCGUUUCAAUUUGGAAACUAUUCCAACUGAUUUGUUGCCUCAUUUGAUAACCGAAAUUAUUAAUUAAUAAAGUGAUGAUUUUUCAUUAAAAAUAUAUAUAUAAAUCUCCCUCUUCUUUUCUCUAUAUUGCCUAUUAUUUUAUUAAGGCUUGUUUGUAACGUCGUAUUAGGUUGUAUUAUAUUGAACUGGAUUAUGGGCCCGUUUGACACAACUUUUGGAAAAGUUAAAA